rnacentral:rRNA from 1 species
CCUACGGGAGGCAGCAGUGGGGAAUAUUGCAUAAUGGGGGGAACCCUGAUGCAGCGACGCCGCGUGAGUGAAGAAGGAUUUCGGUAUGUAAAGCUCUAUCAGCAGGGACGAAAAUGACGGUACUUGACUACGAAGCCGCGGCUAACUACGUGCCAGCAGCCGCGGUAAUACGUAGGGGGCAAGCGUUAUCCGGAUUUACUGGGUGUAAAGGGGGCGUAGACGGUAAUGCAAGUCUGAAGUGAAAGCCCUAGGCUCAACCAUGGGACUGCUUUGGAAACUGUAAAACUGGAGUGCAGGAGAGGUAAGCGGAAUUCCUAGUGUAGCGGUGAAAUGCGUAGAUAUUAGGAGGAACACCAGUGGCGAAGGCGGCUUACCGGACUGUAACUGACGUUGAGGCUCGAAGGCGUGGGGAGCAAACAGGAUUAGAUACCCUUGUAGUC